AAAUUGAAGAGUUUGAUCAUGGCUCAGAUUGAACGCUGGCGGCAGGCCUAACACAUGCAAGUCGAACGGUAACAGGAAGCAGCUUGCUGCUUCGCUGACGAGUGGCGGACGGGUGAGUAAUGUCUGGGAAACUGCCUGAUGGAGGGGGAUAACUACUGGAAACGGUGGCUAAUACCGCAUAACGUCGCAAGACCAAAGAGGGGGACCUUCGGGCCUCUUGCCAUCAGAUGUGCCCAGAUGGGAUUAGCUAGUUGGUGAGGUAACGGCUCACCAAGGCGACGAUCCCUAGCUGGUCUGAGAGGAUGACCAGCCACACUGGAACUGAGACACGGUCCAGACUCCUACGGGAGGCAGCAGUGGGGAAUAUUGCACAAUGGGCGCAAGCCUGAUGCAGCCAUGCCGCGUGUAUGAAGAAGGCCUUCGGGUUGUAAAGUACUUUCAGCGGGGAGGAAGGUGUUGUGGUUAAUAACCGCAGCAAUUGACGUUACCCGCAGAAGAAGCACCGGCUAACUCCGUGCCAGCAGCCGCGGUAAUACGGAGGGUGCAAGCGUUAAUCGGAAUUACUGGGCGUAAAGCGCACGCAGGCGGUCUGUCAAGUCGGAUGUGAAAUCCCCGGGCUCAACCUGGGAACUGCAUUCGAAACUGGCAGGCUUGAGUCUUGUAGAGGGGGGUAGAAUUCCAGGUGUAGCGGUGAAAUGCGUAGAGAUCUGGAGGAAUACCGGUGGCGAAGGCGGCCCCCUGGACAAAGACUGACGCUCAGGUGCGAAAGCGUGGGGAGCAAACAGGAUUAGAUACCCUGGUAGUCCACGCCGUAAACGAUGUCUACUUGGAGGUUGUGCCCUUGAGGCGUGGCUUCCGGAGCUAACGCGUUAAGUAGACCGCCUGGGGAGUACGGCCGCAAGGUUAAAACUCAAAUGAAUUGACGGGGGCCCGCACAAGCGGUGGAGCAUGUGGUUUAAUUCGAUGCAACGCGAAGAACCUUACCUGGUCUUGACAUCCACAGAAGAAUCCAGAGAUGGAUUUGUGCCUUCGGGAACUGUGAGACAGGUGCUGCAUGGCUGUCGUCAGCUCGUGUUGUGAAAUGUUGGGUUAAGUCCCGCAACGAGCGCAACCCUUAUCCUUUGUUGCCAGCGGUUAGGCCGGGAACUCAAAGGAGACUGCCAGUGAUAAACUGGAGGAAGGUGGGGAUGACGUCAAGUCAUCAUGGCCCUUACGACCAGGGCUACACACGUGCUACAAUGGCGCAUACAAAGAGAAGCGACCUCGCGAGAGCAAGCGGACCUCAUAAAGUGCGUCGUAGUCCGGAUUGGAGUCUGCAACUCGACUCCAUGAAGUCGGAAUCGCUAGUAAUCGUGGAUCAGAAUGCCACGGUGAAUACGUUCCCGGGCCUUGUACACACCGCCCGUCACACCAUGGGAGUGGGUUGCAAAAGAAGUAGGUAGCUUAACCUUCGGGAGGGCGCUUACCACUUUGUGAUUCAUGACUGGGGUGAAGUCGUAACAAGGUAACCGUAGGGGAACCUGCGGUUGGAUCACCUCCUUA
rnacentral:rRNA from 7 species